GUGGCCGAAUGGUUACGCUGUCCGCUUUGUAAGCGGAUGAUCUGGGUUCGAUUCCCAUC
rnacentral:tRNA from 1 species